UGUGCUAAUACCGCAUAUCUCUCAGGAGGAAAGCAGGGGAUCGAAAGACCUUGCGCUUAAAGGAGCGGCUGAUGUCUGAUUAGCUAGUUGGUGGGGUAAAGGCUUGCCAAGGCAACGAUCAGUAGCUGGUCUGAGAGGACGACCAGCCACACUGGGACUGAGACACGGCCCAGACUCCUACGGGAGGCAGCAGUGGGGAAUUUUGGACAAUGGGCGAAAGCCUGAUCCAGCCAUGCCGCGUGAGUGAAGAAGGCCUUCGGGUUGUAAAGCUCUUUUAGUCGGAAAGAAAGAGU
rnacentral:rRNA from 1 species